rnacentral:rRNA from 1 species
UACAGAGGUGGCAAGCGUUGUUCGGAAUUACUGGGCGUAAAGGGCGAGUAGGUGGCCAUCUAAGUCAGACGUGAAAUCCCCAGGCUCAACCUGGGAACUGCGUCCGAUACUGGAUGGCUUGAAUCCGGGAGAGGGAUGCAGAAUUCCAGGUGUAGCGGUGAAAUGCGUAGAUAUCUGGAGGAAUACCGGUGGCGAAGGCGGCAUCCUGGACCGGCAUUGACGCUGAGGAGCGAAAGCCAGGGGAGCAAACGGG